CCUACGGGGGGCAGCAGUGGGGAAUAUUGCACAAUGGGGGAAACCCUGAUGCAGCGACGCCGCGUGAAGGACGAAGUAUUUCGGUACGUAAACUUCUAUCAGCAGGGAAGAAAAUGACGGUACCUGACCAAGAAGCCCCGGCUAACUACGUGCCAGCAGCCGCGGUAAUACGUAGGUGGCAAGCGUUGUCCGGAUUUACUGGGUGUAAAGGGCGUGUAGCCGGGUUGACAAGUCAGAUGUGAAAUCCUGCGGCUUAACCGCAGAACUGCAUUUGAAACUGUUGAUCUUGAGUACUGGAGAGGCAGACGGAAUUCCUAGUGUAGCGGUGAAAUGCGUAGAUAUUAGGAGGAACACCAGUGGCGAAGGCGGAUUGCUGGACAGUAACUGACGCUGAGGCGCGAAAGCGUGGGGAGCAAACAGGAUUAGAUACCCGAGUAGUC
rnacentral:rRNA from 1 species